UACGGAGGAUGCAAGCGUUAUCCGGAAUGAUUGGGCGUAAAGCGUCCGCAGGUGGCUAUGUAAGUCUGCUGUUAAAGAGUGAGGCUCAACCUCAUAAGAGCAGUGGAAACUACAUGGCUAGAGUGCGUUCGGGGCAGAGGGAAUUCCUGGUGUAGCGGUGAAAUGCGUAGAGAUCAGGAAGAACACCGGUGGCGAAAGCGCUCUGCUAGGCCGCAACUGACACUCAUGGACGAAAGCCAGGGGAGCAAACGGG
rnacentral:rRNA from 1 species